CCAAUAGCGUAUAUUAAAGUUGUUGCAGUUAAAAAGCUCGUAGUUGAAUUUCGGGAUCAAUAUGUUGGUCGUGCCUUGGUACGUACUGGCAUUAUUGGUUUCUACCUUCUGACGAACCUCGAUGUCAUUAAUUUGGUGUCUUGGGGAAUCAGGACUGUUACUUUGAAAAAAUUAGAGUGUUUAAAGCAGGCUCGCGCUUGAAUACAUUAGCAUGGAAUAAUGAAAUAGGACGUUUGAUUCUAUUUUGUUGGUUUCUAGGAUCGACGUAAUGAUUAAUAGGGAUAGUUGGGGGCAUUAGUAUUCAAUUGUCAGAGGUGAAAUUCUUGGAUUUAUUGAAGACUAACUACUGCGAAAGCAUUUGCCAAGGAUGUUUUCAUUAAUCAAGAACGAAAGUUAGGGGAUCGAAGACGAUCAGAUACCGUCGUAGUCUUAACCAUAAACUAUGCCGACUAGGGAUCGGAUGAUGUUAAUUUUUUAAUGACUCAUUCGGCGCCUUACG
rnacentral:rRNA from 1 species